AAUGGGAGUAAGAGGGUUACUCUGAAGCCAGAAACUGCGGUAAAGUGCGCCGUCAUUCGUCUUCGCGUGGUCGAGCCAUCCGCACCAACGUUUUUAAGUGCGCGCGUGUAGUCGAACUUACGGUGAGUGCUGGGAGUCGACUGAGAAUGUCAGCGGUCGUUUGAUACCGAGCGAAAUCACUUCCGGUUUUCAAAAUAAGACGUUACUAAUACAAGCGCAAUUAAUCGAGCUGAUUUUAAGACAUUGAUUUUUACCUUACAGUAUGCCUGUCGGUCAUUUGGGCCUCGUCGUAACCAAAUUUUAUAUUUAUAAUUGUCAAGCCAGUUGGCAUUGAAUCGGCAACCUGGCAUGGUAAUAUCAGGAGCAAUAGGCCCGUGUGAGCGGCGAAGUGGUUCUGGAUCAUUCCUGGGAAGAAAACACCGGGAGAAAAAAACAUUACGCCUUAAUUUUAUCUUAAUUUCCAGAAGACAUUUUUUUAAUUACGCAAUCACUCACACACAAAAAAAAUAAUAUUUUUUUAUGAAUUGCUCUUGCUCUAAGUAGCCGCUUAGUUUGCUUAUGCCUUCGGCCGACUCUGUUUAGGCAGCUUUUAUAAGAUGAGGGGGAAAGGACAGCAGGUGGCAGCAUUUCCUACAGGUGGAGCUGCUCCUGCACAAAGACACACUGAUUUAAAAGCCCCUCUGUGUCAAACUAUUUGGAAUGUUCCACUUCCUUUGUCGGAGGCGGAGCUUCUUCUACGCAGAGGAAGACGAGGAGCAGCAGGAACAAACAUGUGCUUUGUUUGGACCAGGACCAGGAGCCAGGACCAGGACCUGGUGCAUCCCGACACAUUUCCAUGUCAGGUGGAGCUGCUCACUUUCCAUGACUUGGUACAUUCCACUGUUCCCCUCUGUGUCGAUAUAUUUGGAAUGUUCGACUGAUAAACUUUGUGUUUAUCAGUCGGAGCUGCUUCUUCCACACGGAGACAGAAGCAGGACGAGGACAGCGGAGACAAACAUGUGGUCACUGCUGCCUAAAUGAUCCACACAUUUCUUCUUCUGACGCUCUGUUGUUAACAUUCGACCUGAGGGAUCCGAUCACAGGUGUUCAGAUUACACCUGCUAAUGCUAAUGUGAUGUCACUGCUCCACAUGUAAACACACACACCUUUCAUUUAAUUUCUCUUCACAUACUGUACAAAUGAUGUUGUUUUCUGAUUGUUACAGAAAGACAAAGAAUCCAGGAAAUGUUAAUGUUAUUAUUUUCUCCAUUAAUUGAGUAAUCGUUGUGUUUUGUGAUUUGCGGUUGUGUUUAAUUUGCGUUUUUGUAUUUUUUUUUUGUUAUUUGUUGGUGUUUUCUUCCAGUUUGUGGUGGUAAUUUGCACUUCAGGGCCACCGUAGAAAAUGGAACGCUCAUAACGAAUAAAUCUAUGUAAUUCGAACUAGUAAUAAAUAAAUGGCAACACCAACCGAUAGUGAAUACAGUAAGCUGAAAAGUAUAAUGACGUAAUUAAAGGUUAAAAUGAUGAAUUUAAUGGUUUAUUUCAUUGACCGUGGCUAGUUAAUAUGUGUUGUUACCAGUGGUGUAGUGGUCCCUAGAGAAGUGGGUAUACUCUAAGUUUUUUCUCAGUUUCUCAGUUUUUUUUUUUUUUUUAAGUAGUCCAGAAAAAAAGCCCUGUUUUAGAAAACAGUGACAUGUAAGACUACUUUAUUUAAUUUACCCAAAAAUCUGUCAUUUCUACUUGCUUUCGGUUAUUUUUUGCACAUUUAUUUAAAUAAAAUACUUCAAAUCUGAAGUUGACAAUGCA